UACGAACUGUGCAAACGUUAUUCGGAAUCACUGGGUUUAAAGGGUGCGUAGGUGGAUCGGUAAGUCCGUGGUGAAAUCCCCGAGCUUAACUCGGGAACUGCCGUGGAUACUAUCGAUCUUGAAUACUGUGGAGGUAAGCGGAAUAUGUCAUGUAGCGGUGAAAUGCUUAGAUAUGACAUAGAACACCGAUAGCGAAGGCAGCUUGCUACACAGUUAUUGACACUGAGGCACGAAAGCGUGGGGAGCAAACAGG
rnacentral:rRNA from 1 species